AACGAACGCUGGCGGCAGGCCUAACACAUGCAAGUCGAGCGAGCAUUUCGGUGCUAGCGGCGGACGGGUGAGUAACGCGUGGGAACGUGCCCUUUUCUGCGGAAUAGUCCUGGGAAACUGGGGGUAAUACCGCAUACGCCCUUUUGGGGAAAGAUUUAUCGGAGAAGGAUCGGCCCGCGUUGGAUUAGGUAGUUGGUGGGGUAAUGGCCCACCAAGCCGACGAUCCAUAGCUGGUUUGAGAGGAUGAUCAGCCACACUGGGACUGAGACACGGCCCAGACUCUUACGGGAGGCAGCAGUGGGGAAUCUUAGACAAUGGGGGCAACCCUGAUCUAGCCAUGCCGCGUGAGUGAUGAAGGCCUUAGGGUUGUAAAGCUCUUUCAGCUGGGAAGAUAAUGACGGUACCAGCAGAAGAAGCCCCGGCUAACUCCGUG
rnacentral:rRNA from 1 species